CAGUCGCCGCGGUAAUACGUAGGUGGCAAGCGUUGUCCGGAAUUACUGGGCGUAAAGGGCUCGCAGGCGGUUUCUUAAGUCUGAUGUGAAAGCCCCCGGCUCAACCGGGGAGGGUCAUUGGAAACUGGGAAACUUGAGUGCAGAAGAGGAGAGUGGAAUUCCACGUGUAGCGGUGAAAUGCGUAGAGAUGUGGAGGAACACCAGUGGCGAAGGCGACCCUCUGGUCUGUAACUGACGCUGAGGAGCGAAAGCGUGGGGAGCGAACAGGAUUAGAUACCCGCGUAGUCCCUGUCUCUUAUAC
rnacentral:rRNA from 1 species